GAUGAACGCUGGCGGCGUGCCUAACACAUGCAAGUCGAGCGAUUCUCUUCGGAGAAGAGCGGCGGACGGGUGAGUAACGCGUGGGUAACCUGCCCUGUACACACGGAUAACAUACCGAAAGGUAUGCUAAUACGGGAUAAUAUGCUUUAGUCGCAUGGCUGAAGUAUCAAAGCUCCGGCGGUACAGGAUGGACCCGCGUCUGAUUAGCGAGUUGGUAAGGUAACGGCUUACCAAGGCGACGAUCAGUAGCCGACCUGGGAGGGUGAUCGGCCACAUUGGAACUGAGACACGGUCCAAACUCCUACGGGAGGCAGCAGUGGGGAAUAUUGCACAAUGGGCGAAAGCCUGAUGCAGCAACGCCGCGUGAGCGAUGAAGGCCUUCGGGUCGUAAAGCUCUGUCCUCAAGGAAGAUAAUGACGGUACUUGAGGAGGAAGCCCCGGCUAACUACGUGCCAGCCGCCGCGGUAA
rnacentral:rRNA from 1 species